CCUACGGGGGGCUGCAGUGGGGAAUAUUGCACAAUGGGGGAAACCCUGAUGCAGCGACGCCGCGUGAGUGAAGAAGUAAUUCGUUAUGUAAAGCUCUAGCAGCAGGGAAGAAAAUGACGGUACCUGAGGAAGAAGCCCCGGCUAACGACGUGCCAGCAGCCGCGGUAAUACGUAGGGGGCAAGCGUUAUCCGGAUUUACUGGGUGUAAAGGGAGCGUAGACGGCAGGGCAAGUCUGGAGUGAAAGGCGGGGGCUCAACCCCCGGACGGCUCUGGAAACUGUACGGCUGGAGUGCAGGCGAGGUAAGUGGUAUUCCUAGUGUAGCGGUGAACUGCGUCGAUAUUAGGAGGAACCCCAGUGGCGAUGGCGGCUUACUGUACUGUAACUGACGUUGAGGCUCGAAAGCGUGGGGAGCAAACAGGAUUAGCUACCCCAGUAGUC
rnacentral:rRNA from 1 species